rnacentral:rRNA from 1 species
CGAACGGGUGAGUAACGCGUGAGGAACCUGCCUCAAAGAGGGGGACAACAGUUGGAAACGGCUGCUAAUACCGCAUAAGCCCACGGGUCGGCAUCGACCUGAGGGAAAAGGAGCAAUCCGCUUUGAGAUGGCCUCGCGUCCGAUUAGCUAGUUGGUGAGGUAAUGGCCCACCAAGGCGACGAUCGGUAGCCGGACUGAGAGGUUGAACGGCCACAUUGGGACUGAGACACGGCCCAG